GUAAUAAAGACUGACAGUGCCUCUCGUACAGCUUAAUUAAUAAUUUACCGCUGCCGGAGGAGUGCCGAAAAUUCAAGGUUUUCACUAGGCACUCCCGUGUGAUGUCACUGGGUGGGGUGUGCUGGGAGCCUGUUCCGUUUGUUUUACCUUUAUGUGGGACGGAAGUGGGGUAGGGGGCGUGUCAUGCCUAAACGCCAAGGUGAAACAACUGUCUUGAGUCAGUAGAGAUCUGCUCACCAACCCGAUGCGGUGGUUUUUUGUUAUUUUUAUCUGCAAGCGUCACCGCGGGACAUUGAAAAGGAAACUGAGGUCCUUAUUUCCUGGGUCCCGUUCGUAAGCGCGGGGGAACCUUACCUGGGAUAAAUGCCUACUGAUCUCUCUCGCACUGUCAAGAUGCAGGCGUCCGCGGACGUGAAUCCUACCAGGAUCUUGGAGAAGGGUCCGAGUUACCUCCGAAAGCAGAUGGAGCUGGAGGGGGACGCGAAGGGGCGGCAGAGCGCGGUGGAGAGGCUGGCGGCAAGCAAAGCCAAGUACGUCAAAAGCCAACAGGUGGUCGGCUCGAAGCAGGAGCCCGUGAUCACGCUGAGCUCGGCUUCCGAAAGCAGCAACGGCUCCUCCAUUCGUAGCUCGAACCGGAGCACCGGUAAUAGGGACGUGAAAGGAAAGCCCGACGACGACCCCCAAGCGCGAAAUGCGAAACAGGCUGAGAGCAGAGCCCCCGCGGACGGCUCGUCCAUUGUACGGCGGAGCAGUUCGAAAAGGCAGAGGCCAGAUUCUCUGGUCAUGUACAGACAUAAUCUGGUAAGGGGGCCAGCCAGUGAAAACUCAAAGGGGGGUUUAAUGCGCAGGCUGUUCCUCAGCACGCUGCGAGACAAGUCAGUUGCACUACCCGAGGCGCAGGGAAAGGAAUGCGCUCCCGGAGCGCACCUGGACCCCUUGGCCAGCGAGGCGACGCCGCCAGGCUGCCCCAGCAAGCCUCGCUCGGCGACGUCCGGAGGGGCACCGGCGGUGGUGAGGACGUGUGUUCCCGACACGGACGCGGAAAGCGAAAGGGCACCCAGGAAAGGGGUGUUCCGGUCGCAUUCCGAUAUAAGUUCGAGGUACUCGAAGAACUUCUCCGAGUUCGAGACGUUCUUCAAGUACUGCGGGCUGGACGGCGACGUGAUCGAGUCUCUGGGCAAACAGAACUUCACUGCGCGCUCGGACGAGGUCUCGGUGCGGGUCCGCAGCGUCAGCGUGGCGACGUCGGACGACGGGUUUACCAGGACUAGCGGCGACAGCGACGGACUCCUGGAGGUGGAGGUCAAGGAAAAGAAUCAGAGCGGGACGUCGGUGAUUGAGCGCAAUGCGAGGAUUAUAAAGUGGUUGUAUAGUUGCAAGAACGCUAAUGAAUCCGGCAAGGUGUUACGAGAUCUCCAUUAGAAUAGUAUUACGCCGCAACUGGUCAGUAGUGUUUUAAAUUUAUAUUUAUAAGGCUGAUUUGCAAGUUGUUUUUAUUGGAGGUAUUUAUAACAAACCAGUUUCAUUAUACAGGAUUCUGCUGCUGUUAAGUUAAAACCCAACUUCAAGAACAUGCGGUCUUCUCUUAUUUCUAUUAAGAUGUUGUGUACAGAUAAUGGGGCAAGUGAAUACUUAAUCGAUUUCUGGUCAAGUUUUUAUCCACAUUUUAAAAAUAGUGAUAGACUGCUUUUAUAUUUUAUUAUUAUAAACUGUUAUACUUUGAAAUGUCAUUAAACAAAGAUUAAAAACUCCACCUUGUUCCUUUUAUCAAUUACGAGACGAGUUAAGGUUAGAUGAUAGAAAAUAAAUGUCUUGAGCAAAUAAAUGUAGCCUGAAGCGUUACCGCGCUUUCUUCGCUCAGCAGGUAUAGAAAUGUUACAGGAUCAGAGUAAGAUCACAAACUCGCGGAAGUACUGUACAAAUCUGGAAUAACAGUAACAUCGUGUUGAAGGGUAAACUGUUUGCAAAAUACAUUUUAUGAGGGAUAACAAAAGGUCCGAAACGUCCGAUCUGAAAUGUUUAGAUUUUAAGCUUAACAAAAAAUACGUUGGCAUCAGAGUGAAUAACGCUUUGGAUAUGUACUGAAAGAAUCCUUAAAUUACUUUCAGCGAUGCAGAAAUAAGGUGUUUAGACAACGUAUCGCCGAAUUCUGCAGUAUUUUGCUUUGAAAAAAUAAAUAUAAUCAUGCUCAGAUCACAAAUGUUAUGUAAUUCCAAUUUUCCGAUGUAACUUUGCAAAUGUAUAUAUUAUUCCAAAUGUAUAAGAAGGCAUUGGAAUUUAUGCGAGACUAAACUUUGUUGUAACCUACAUGCAACUUCAAUACUGUAAAUCAGGAAAGAGUGCGAAAUCACAACUGAAGCAUGAUAGUAUAGUACAGUACAGUACAUGCAUUUUUAUGAACAAGGGUAUCAUUCAUUCUUUUGCCUGUAUCACAUCUUUCGUUCUCUCUGUAAAAGAAAACACCAUUGAACUGGGCCCUCUUACCAUAAAGUCGAAUAUAUACGCCUGGCGAUAUACCGGUCACCUCUGUCAAAGGCACCGUGCGGGAAAAGCAUCAUAUCGUCCCUUGAAAAGCAUAACGUGUCAAAAACACCAGUCGGCGCUUAAAGUAGUGGAUCUGCCACUUGCAGAUUAGGCAGUGUUUUUCCCCUGGCGAAGUGUCAGAGCGGUCAUACUGGAGAGUGAUGCACUUAAAAACGUGCUACAGUAUGUCAGUGAACCAAUUCGGCUAUACAGUGUGACUGUGUUUUCUCGUUUACUGCAAGCCGUGAAAUAACACCCGUGUCAGCUGCCCAUGUCUCCUUCAGCAACAAUGAGAUUUCAAAUGGAAAAAUUAGCAUUGGGGCUGUAUCAGCAGACUGCUUAUUUUCUGUGCCUUCAGGUAUAUGCGUGCAGAGGAACAAACAUGAAUCACAAGGUGCAAUUCCGUGUGAUGUAACUUUUUUGUGUGUUUGCUUUGUUAUUGCGCAACAUAUUGGGUACUGGAUUUGCUGCUUGUUUGGAAAGAUAGCUUUUCAGUUGACCCGUGUCCUGUCUGUGCAGUUUUAUUUACUAAUACCAGUGGAUAUUUUAGUCUGUGACAGUCUACUGCAUGGCUGCUGGCAAACCCUUCACGGACGGGGAGUUUAUUCAGCAGAGUAUGCAAGAGGUCGUGGCGAAGAUGUGCUUGGAGAAACGCCACCUAUUCCAGUCGGUGAGUUUAUCGGAUUUCACUUGGAUGGCCCAGCAAGGUUAGUAAAAAGUUUUAAUGGCCCUUGCUCUAAAAUGUUUGCCGACCCCUGCCUUAGACCCUUAGACACUCUAGGACAGACUUGAGUCAGUGCUGGAAUAACUGCAGUUGUGUCAGAGAAUAUAUUGUUUUUUCCACUAAGAUAUGAGAACUGUAUUGUUCCGAAGACUAUAGCAUCGCAUGUCUUAAUGUAUGAAACUACUGUUUUGCCAAACUAUUACUUUUAUAGAGAAAAAGAUUGAAAACCAACAGGAGAGGCACCUUUAAAGUGCAUCCACAGCCGUAACAUCCGAUCAUGUUUGCAAGUAAAUCUGAAUCUCGUCAGCAUAGCGGGGAAAUCCAGGUUUCUGAUGGUGAAUAAUACGACCAUGAGACAACGGGUACAUUCAACAUAGAAGGUGUCCGCUGAAAUACCUGUGGAACACUUGGAAUUGGAUCAGCAACAUGAGAUUUAAGAACUUCAGAAAGGGUUACUGGGGGGCCAUCAGGCACAUUGAGCCCAUUUGUUAAUAGUUUAAAACAAACAAGAUUUAUGAUUUGUCUCCUGUUAGCGAAAUAAAGGGAGGUACUGUAAUCACAUAGUUUUCCACACAGUAGAAAGCAAUGAAAGACGGUAUUUAAAGUUCAUUAACUUUAACAAAUCAUUAACUACCCUAAAUAAGGGCCCAGUUUCAGCACCCUCUCUUUGUCUAAAUUAUGACUGAUAAGGCUCAAAGAACACUCCUGUAUCAGGUGGAUAGCUGCAUCAGCAUGCGUAAUGCUUCUUCACUUCCUACACUGGCUUUGUCCCGGACCUCUACAAGUGCUGCAUCAAUGACUGAGUUGGUGCUAACACAUGCUCUGAUGACCAGUUAGAGCACUUCCUGCAUCACCUCACCAACUUCCACCCAUCCCUCAAAUAUACAGUUAACAUACCUUCCACCACUCUUCCGUUUCUCGACAUAAACCAACCCAUUAACAUCCCCAACUUUCUACUUCAGUCUAUUACAAACCCGUGGAUUCACACAACUAUCUCCUGUACAGCUCAUUUCACCCCGAACACACUAAAAACUCUCCUUCGGCUACAACAAUUCUGCAGUGAUGACAUGGAUUUCCAGAACCAAACACUCAAAAUGCACUCCUUUUUCAUCAACAGAGGAUACCCUACCCAGGGCCCUCAUCCGAGCCAAAAACAGCCCUCGGAUCAUCAACUCGACCCGGCCUAACAACCACAUUCCUUUGGUGCUUCCCUUCCACCCUAACACACUUUCUAUCUCCAGGACCAUUAACGACAACUUUUUCAUCCUACAGGCUGAUCCCUCCAUUGGGGCCCUCUUUUCUGACUGCCCCAUCAUCUCAUAUCACCUACCACCUAAUCAGCAUAACCUUCUUGUUUACAGCUCCCUUGACCUCCCUCAGCAAUCAUCUACACCAGCAAUUCCCCAUGCAGGAGAGCUCACUGCAUCAUCUGCAAGUACACAUCUAACACCACACUCCUUAAAGGCCCCUCGGGAUAAUUCCGGAUCACGCAGGUGACCUCUUGUACCUCCAGCAACCUCAUUUAUCUCUUGCAGGAAAUGCCCAGCCAUCUAUGUUGGGGAAACCAGAAGGAGAGUAGAAGGACAUCAGAGAACAUCGUUUGCACUGCGUGCUGAGCCAGCAAGCGGCAUUAUUCAGCUAGGUGUAAGGCCAACAGUCCACAACUGAAGUGCGUCAGUGGGCAGUCGUUCACAACGUGUGACAUAGUCUGUGGUGCACCACAGUUGCAUUUUGGGUCAGUUGCCUGGCCCCAUCGGACAAGGUUGACUGCACAGCGACCCUGACCUGUCCAGAAUCGGUUCGAUGACGUCAAUAGUCAGCGCGGUAGGUCGAAGCCAGGAGGGCAAGCAGAUGGCUCGGUCACGGAACUGGGCUCGGGGAGCAUUGGAUCAGCAUUUCCCAUCGCGCUCCCUGACAGCACCGACUCGGCCUCCAACCUUGUUCAGGUGCGGCGAAUGAUCCAACUAACAGAGCGACUUCCAGUAAUGAAUCUUGGUAACGUGCCAACACCAGCAGAAGGCCCCGACACGCCGGUGGGCAAUGACUUUCAGCUAGGUUAUUAAGUGUAUGCUCACUUUUUUUCUUUUUAAAUGUGAUCAGUUUUUUCAUUCUGCAGUGGUUCGAUUGGUUUCAUAUUUCCAAACACACCCGAAUAAGGGAACGCAGAAACUGGUUGACUCCUCUAACUAUUCCAUUCAACUUUUUAGGAUCUGAAAACCAUUUUUGCCAGAAACUGUCUGGAAUAAAAACCAGAAAACACCAGAAAAAAUGGUGGGAAGCAAUCUCUAUGGAAAACUAAGUAGCUGCUGUAAGUAGAUGACACUGUUCUCUGUGGAAUAGAAUUUCCAACCUAGGUCUCAAUAUAGUGACCAGGGAACAUGGAAGGUAAUGUCUUUUGGAUAAGAUAUUGAACUGAAGUUCAACUGCCUGGUCUUUUUCUUUGUUGUACAGGUAUGUUAUUGAACUUGUUGUUGCUGCUGUUCUGUGUUUAUGUUUUUGGUGAUUCCUUUUAAUGUCUUUGCAUUGGAGCAUACGUGCAAAUAAGCAUUUCAUUGAACUUGUGUAUAUGACACAUAAAGUGAACUAAACAUUAACAGUCUUAUGGCACUGUCUGUAAGAGCAGGGUUGUCAGUUCCAGUGUUCUGGCUAAAAUUCCACCCUGCACUUUCACAAUCUCCCUGCCUAAAAUUACUCCUAAAUUAGUGACAUAAUUUCUAUUUUCUCUUCUCCCAAGAAGCUGUGAAAUAAGACUUCUGGUGCAUAAUGGUUUCUGCCCAGAUGGGUACUGUGUUUGAGUGGUGGAUGAACUGAGUCAUUUCCUAUACAUAAAGUAAUUUGGGAUACUUUUGGAUGAAAAUCUCUAUAUACAUUAAAUAAAUUAUUAUUCAGAAGAAACACAGAGAGAGAAUGAAGUAGAUAUUUUCUCUGUCUCUCUCAGUUGUGCUGUCUCCCUUUCUAUAGUUUCCAGGUGCACAUGACUUUGUCAGCACAAAAGUUGCUCUAUGAUAAACUAAACGGGUCAAAACUAACUUUCAGCUGAAGAGAGCUGGUAUUUAAAUGCAUGUAAAUACAUGUAAGGUUUGUAAAUGAAAGUAUACAUUUGAGUUGUACGCUUGGAAAGAUAACAAUAACUGUAACGUCAAAGUAUCUGGAUGUGCUCACACACACCAAUCAUCCAGUACAAGCCAGUAAUUGAGAAGCUAGAAGGAGAAGGCAGAGAAAAUAAAUAUAUAUGCAAUUUUACAGAACAUGGAUCUUCUGAUCCUCUGCUCUUUUCACCCCUCAUAUUUGUGAACUGCUGAAUAGCUUCUGCCAUUACUGUGCUAGGAGAGGAACAUUAUCUGACAGCAACCAUAAUUCUGAAUAUCACUUAUAUUGUUUAUUUCCAUUAGAAUUAUAGUUAUGAGCUAACCAAGCAAUAUGUACAGUGACUUUAUAUUGGCAAUUGUCAUCAUUAUCACUAUUAUUAGUAUUCCUGGUGUGAAGACAUCCUCAUUGUUUACAUAUUUUCAGUUGUGCUUGAUAAAGCAGGAGAACUGUAUUUUCUAGUUGGUAACUAGAGCGCAAACAUUUGACUCUGAGCAAGUUAGAAUUGAGUUAAAGCUCAAUUAAGCCCAGUGAGUUCAUUUGCUCAUCGUAAAUAAAGAUAGAACUAAAUAAACCUAUCCGCAGAAGGAAUUACAUUUUAUUCUCUCCAGAAUGAAUCCAUAAAAUGUGUACCCAGUAUAGUAUCACAUAUUUGGCUGGAGUUCUUGACUUGGAACAUUUCAUUUUGGUUAGUAAUGCUCUCCCCUGGGCCUGUGCGUCACGGAACCUUCUGAUUUUCAUUCUAGUUGAGUUCUUAAUGACUCUUUCAACUCACAAUCCCUGGUUUUGACAUCUUUAGCCACUUUCCAAUUUUGCUGAAGGCUGCAGGUUUGUAGCUCUUCGGAACCAGCAGUGACACAGAGCUCAAGUCGAACAAGAAAACUUCAACAAGUGGGAUUUUAAUUUCAGAAAACAAGGUUGCUCAAGAGGGUGUCCCCUGUGGAGGUCAAGUGUAGCCGCGGCUGGAAGCAACGCAAGCUGAAUCUGAGACACAAUUACUCAAGGUUCAUGAUGCCUUCUCGUGGGAUUCUGUCACAUCCAGCCGGGAGCAGCAUGUGAUUUGCUCAACGGUCUUUGAGCCCUACAUAGCACAUGUUGUUCCAGCUAAUAUUAGAGUGCUCACCCUGCGGUCUGUGUGGACUCUAUCGGCCCAGUAUAGUGAUGAGGACACAAUAGUGUAAAAAAGACUUUGUCCUUUGGAUGAGGCAAUGAGGUCCUAACUCUCUGUGGUCAUUACAAAUCCCAGGGCAUUUCUCAGAAAGAGUAGGGGUGUUAAUCCUGAUGUACAGGUUUCUUCUUGUUCUUCUUGUUCAUCUUCCACCACAGCUAGCAACAGUGUGCUAGCUUCAUUCAGCCUGCAAUAUACUCAUCAAGGCAGAUUUCUCUUUAGAAGCAGGGGUUUUGAGUUCCUUUCUGAGUUUAUUUUAUUGUUUUUCACCUGGCUUGUCGUUCAACAGGUAAAAUUUCCUCAUCACUGGUGCUCAAUGAACCCUCCCACUAUUGAGGUGAAUUCGUUUUCUGCAAGUCAAAAUCAUGUGUGUGUAUUACAUUUAUGAAUGAUGAGUGAAAUAAAAAAAGAUAGCAAAAG